rnacentral:lncRNA from 1 species
AGCAGGAAGUUCCGGCUGUUUUAAAGUCGCGGUUCCGGUGUUCAGGAUGCCAGGGAUGAUGGGAAGCCUGUUCUUGUUUAUCGGAAAACAUCUGAGCCCAUGAAUUGCCAGACCCUGGAUACCUGAGACACAUCCACUUGCUUCUCAGGUUUGGAGUGCAUAAUGAGGAGAAAUAAAAACAGAAAGAUCUCCAGAAAGAAGCCAUGGGUGGAGAACAGAGGGCGACUAGAUUAAAUGGAAAGAAUGCCCAGGCAUCCCAUUGCCUCCCUUUGACGUUCCAGAACUUCAUCAAGACAGUGAUGAGCUACAUGUACACCUGGAGGAGAGUUCAGGAUCAAGCUCAGAAGCGCACAGCUGCCAGCAAGCAGUCUACUACUGAACUGCACCAUCUCUCCAGCCUGUGCUUACUCUUGAAUAGCCCCAAAGUAGUCAAUGGUAUGGCAAAAUAAACCUCCAUUUCAUUUAGAUUUUUAUAGUAUUUUUUGCCACUUAAAUUAUUUUAUGUAGUUGAGUAUGAUUUUUUUUCCCCCUAAGGAAUUCUAUGUAUCUCAAUUUCAAGAGUCUUCAGCCUUUAUGUUAUACAUAAUUUCCUAUAGAUUUCAAAGUUGCUUUAAUAAAAAGUUUAAUGUUAAAA